rnacentral:misc_RNA from 1 species
ACUUUGCUGAAUGAUCCCCCCUUUGAUGUGUUCGCGAAGAGGGGGCCGAGUGAGUUCGCGCGCGGAUGGUUAUCCCAGGUACUUUCUCACACUGGCGAUACCGAUCGCAUUGACAAACAGACCAAAGUCAUCGACCAACGGCAGUGGUUUCAAAGGAAGGACUUUAUCAACCGAGUUUGCGGACAAAAGUGUUUUUCUUUCUUUUAAAUAGUUUUAUUAUAGUGAAUGAUGUGGGUUCCUUUUAGCUGUGCAGGUGAAACGCUUGUGAUAAUUAAUUGUAUUUUCAAGCCAAGUGUAAGCGAAAGGUGCCUGCGACUAAACUAUAUAUGAACAGAGAAAAAAGACACGUAAGCCGAAUUACUUCGGAUGUGUGAAAUGGUCUAUUUUAUAAUAGCCACCAAAGGAAAGACCACCCAACCCAAGUGAUCCCGGUUGUUUUAAUCGUUGCAAUUUAAUAUUUGAUGUAGUGUCGUAUUUGUUCUGCUUCGCUGCAUCUCGUCUUACCUGAGAAGUUGUACAGUUUGUUUCUUGACACUGCGCUUAUUCACUUGAGUAACCUUCAACGUAUUCCCCACAACAUUCGGAGGAUCCAAGGGUUUUGCGGAGACAUUUCAUCUCCCAUGCAGUAUCCUUGUUUGGAGGGUUGCAAGCCAACAGGUCGCUACCUCAGAAUUACAAAGUUC